ensembl:lncRNA
AUCUGACUUAAGAAUUGCCAUUGUUGGGCAGGUGUGUACUUCCAGAUCUACAAUCAAGGGAUUUUUGUUUUAUACCAGAAUCAAUGUUAACUUUCUGAAUGCCUGAAAUUUAAAUGUUACUUCUUUGCUUUGACUAUAUUUAAUUAUAUUUAAGCUAAAGAACCUAUCUCUAAGUUUAAUAAAUCUGAAAUGAUAGUAUGAUGUUUGCUGAUGGAGAGGAAGGGAUAGCUUUAUACAGGAAGCUGACUUCCAUUUGUUACUUUCAAAAAAAUUUUAAACAUUAAGAAAAGACAUGUCCUUAGUUAUGAUGAAAUGUCUAAACCGGUGCAGUUAUUACCAUUUGCCGAACUGUGCUCAUGUAUGUUAAUGGUGUCUUCAGCCUGUACAGUGUCUGUCUGGGCAAAGGACUCUACAGGUUUGUAGUUUAAGAGGGGACCAUAUAGUCAGGUGCAGCUGACUUGUGAGUUGCAUAAGUCAAUCUUGUGAGUCCUCCAUCUAUGUCACUAUCCCUCUUUGUUUUAAUGACUACAGCCCUAUAUGGAUUAGUUAAUAUUUUAGAAAAAAAUGUUUAAUUUGAAAUUUCUUGAGGUAUUUUGUAGUAUUUGAUCCAAUUGCAUUUUUGUAGUAAAACUUUAAACAUUGCCCUUUAUCUACAUAUGGUGUUUGGCUCUUAGCCUCUGGAAGUGACUAAGGCAUAUAUAUCUGUUAGAGCAGGGUCAGUAACCUAAGGGUUAUCCUUAGGUGCCAUGAAUUUGAACAUGUAACUGGGUUUAAGGAAUUUGAAAAUUAGAAACUCUGCAUAGCUCUAGAAAACCUCCCUUCUGCCUAUUUAAAAAGUGAAUAUUUACUGCUCUUCACCACAUGGGGUUGUGAUAAAUCUGUUAGAAAAAUCUUCCCCAAAGAACCAGCAGGACUCCUUAUUUUUCUUGUUCUAUUUAGUCUUAAGUUAGUUUUAAAACUUGGGACUGUAAAUGUUUUUUAAGAAAUACAGAAUACUCUAUAAUUUUGCUCCCUAAAAUAGAUGGCAUUAUGUUUAUUUCAUGCUUGUAAAAUAAUCUUAUGGAGGAAGUGCUGAAAACAAGCAAAUGAGAUUGCUUUUCCUAUUUAAUAUUCUGUGUAUAAGUACCUUAGCUCUAAGGGAAUUCUUCAAAGAGCAACAUGCAGGAAAGACCAUUUACUCCCCUACCAGAGCCUUGAAGUCCCUGCUUCAAGCUACUGUGUUUAGGUGCUGAGUUUAAAUAUCCAGAGUUCUUUUCAAUACCUGUAAAUACUGCUUUUAUUCUUGUAUUUGUACAGAAGUGUGCGAAAUGAUACAAAAAAGUAAUAAAAAUGUUUUGAC